GGGGCGGUGGCGGAAUUAGGCAGACGCAGAGGACUUAAAAUCCUCCGACAGAGAUGUCUUGUGGGUUCGAGUCCCACCCGCCCUA
rnacentral:tRNA from 1 species